rnacentral:rRNA from 1 species
GGAUAACUUACCCUUUAGGACUUGGAUAACUCUGGGAAACUGGGGAUAAUACUGGAUAUUAGGCUAUGCCUGGAAUGGUUUGCCUUUGAAAUGUUUUUUCGCCUAAGGAUAGGUCUGCGGCUGAUUAGGUCGUUGGUGGGGUAAUGGCCCACCAAGCCGAUGAUCGGUACGGGUUGUGAGAGCAAGGGCCCGGAGAUGGAACCUGAGACAAGGUUCCAGACCCUACGGGGUGCAGCAGGCGCGAAACCUCCGCAAUGUACGAAAGUGCGACGGGGGGAUCCCAAGUGUUAUGCUUUUUUGUAUGACUCUUCAUUAGUGUAAAAAGCUUUUAGAAUAAGAGCUGGGCAAGACCGGUGCCAGCCGCCGCGGUAACACCGGCAGCUCGAGUGGUAGCUGUUUUUAUUGGGCCUAAAGCGUUCGUAGCCGGUUUGAUAAGUCUUUGGUGAAAGCUUGUAGCUUAACUAUAAGAAUUGCUGGAGAUACUAUUAGACUUGAAGUCGGGAGAGGUUAGAGGUACUACCGGGGUAGGGGUGAAAUCCUAUAAUCCUGGGAGGACCACCUGUGGCGAAGGCGUCUAACUGGAACGAUCUUGACGGUGAGUAACGAAAGCCAGGGGCGCGAACCGGAUUAGAUACCCGGGUAGUCCUGGCCGUAAACGAUGUGGACUUGGUGUUGGAAUGGCUUUGAGUUGUUCCGGUGCCGAAGGGAAGCUGUUAAGUCCACCGCCUGGGAAGUACGGUCGCAAGACUGAAACUU